GUGAUGUAGCUCAGCUGGUUAGAGCGCAGGAUUCAUAAUCCUGAGGUCGAGAGUUCAAGUCUCUCCAUCACC
rnacentral:tRNA from 1 species